ACGUGAUACUCACGUAUUAAAAACCCACCGAGAAAUUGUUAUCUAUACCUAUUUUUGGAUGCAGGUAGGCGAAGUGAGGGAAUGCUAUGGGUCGCGCUUUCGAAAGAUAUUAGUCUACACCCUAACUCACAAGUCGUUCUUAGAUCCGCUCUGGAGCUUGCACUGACAAAUAGUUGACAAGUUACGACUGCUUAUUAAGCCUGUAGCAUAGCUUGCAGCUCGUAAUGUAAUUAUUAACCCCUUUUAUUAUUAUUUACUGAUUUUGUAUGUUUAUAUGAAUUCCUAAUCUGAACAAGGUUGGUUGUAGUUUAUAUAGAUGUCGUAUAUUACUAAUACGAAACAACUCUUAGCAACGGAUAUCUUGGUUCU
rnacentral:misc_RNA from 1 species